CAGUCGCCGCGGUAAUACGUAGGUGGCAAGCGUUGUCCGGAAUUAUUGGGCGUAAAGGGCUCGCAGGCGGUUUCUUAUGUCUGAUGUGAAAGCCCCCGGCUCAACCGGGGAGGGUCAUUGGAAACUGGGAAACUUGAGUGCAGAAGAGGAGAGUGGAAUUCCACGUGUAGCGGUGAAAUGCGUAGAGAUGUGGAGGAACACCAGUGGCGAAGGCGACUCUCUGGUCUGUAACUGACGCUGAGGAGCGAAAGCGUGGGGAGCGAACAGGAUUAGAUACCCCCGUAGUCCCUGUCUCUUAUAC
rnacentral:rRNA from 1 species